rnacentral:rRNA from 1 species
CGGGAAUAAAGUGAGGCACGUGUGCUUUUUUGUAUGUACCGUAUGAAUAAGGAUCGGCUAACUCCGUGCCAGCAGCCGCGGUAAUACGGAGGAUCCGAGCGUUAUCCGGAUUUAUUGGGUUUAAAGGGAGCGUAGGCGGACGUUUAAGUCAGUUGUGAAAGUGUGCGGCUCAACCGUAAAAUUGCAGUUGAUACUGGGUGUCUUGAGUACAGUAGAGGCAGGCGGAAUUCGUGGUGUAGCGGUGAAAUGCUUAGAUAUCACGAAGAACUCCGAUUGCGAAGGCAGCUUGCUGGACUGUAACUGACGCUGAUGCUCGAAAGUGUGGGUAUCAAACAGGAUUAGAUACCCUGGUAGUCCACACAGUAAACGAUGAAUACUCGCUGUUUGCGAUAUACAGUAAGCGGCCAAGCGAAAGCGUUAAGUAUUCCACCUGGGGAGUACGCCGGCAACGGUGAAACUCAAAGGAAUUGACGGGGGCCCGCACAAGCGGAGGAACAUGUGGUUUAAUUCGUUGAUACGCGAGGAACCUUACCCGGGCUUGAAUUGCAACUGAAUGAUGUGGAGACAUGUCAGCCGCAAGGCAGUUGUGAAGGUGCUGCAUGGUUGUCGUCAGCUCGUGCCGUGAGGUGUCGGCUUAAGUGCCAUAACGAGCGCAACCCUUAUCGAUAGUUACCAUCAGGUUAUGCUGGGGACUCUGUCGAGACUGCCGUCGUAAGAUGUGAGGAAGGUGGGGAUGACGUCAAAUCAGCACGGCCCUUACGUCCGGGGCUACACACGUGUUACAAUGGGGGGUACAGAAGGCAGCUACACGGCGACGUGAUGCUAAUCCCUAAAGCCUCUCUCAGUUCGGAUUGGAGUCUGCAACCCGACUCCAUGAAGCUGGAUUCGCUAGUAAUCGCGCAUCAGCCACGGCGCGGUGAAUACGUUCCCGGGCCUUGUACACACCGCCCGUCAAGCCAUGAAAGCCGGGGGUACCUGAAGUGCGUAACCGCAAGGAGC